rnacentral:rRNA from 1 species
AUGUCUUCUUCAAGCUCCCUUGCCACCUCGCAGAUGCAGAGCCCGGCGCGCGUGGAGGUGCCUAUCUUCAUCUGUCUGUGGUGCCGGCCGGGCGUUGAUCGGAGGGUUUCUCACACACCGGAGAACCAGAAUCGUCUGUUCUACGUGUGCAACGAGAAUGGGGAGAAAUGUUUCUUCCUUUGGUUCAACACUCUGGCCAAGACUCUGAUGAAUGAACUGCAAGAAGAGCAUGAAGAAUGCUUGCGUAUGCUGCCACAAACGGCGGUGGCCAUAGCACGAGCUCCGGAAGAAGAGAUGGAGGGCGAAGCACGCAAUGACAAAGAGCUAGCUGUUGAGCUUAGGAUGUUGAAGAAGAAGGUUAGGAAGCUUGAAGAUCAAGCACAAAUACCCAUUUGCAAUUACUUUUGGGAAUUUGUAGCUAUGGUAAUUACUGGUGUAAUGUUGAAAUUGUAUGGAAAGGCAUGA